AUUGAACGCUGGCGGCAGGCCUAACACAUGCAAGUCGAGCGAGCGGCGGACGGGUGAGUAAUGUAUGGGGACUGCCCGAUAGAGGGGGAUAACUACUGGAAACGGUGGCUAAUACCGCAUACUAUCGGAUAAACCCUAUGGGAUUAGCUAGUAGGUGGGGUAAAGGCUCACCUAGGCGACGAUCUCUAGCUUGUCUGAGAGGAUGAUCAGCCAAACUGGGGUUGAUACACGGCCCUGCCUCCUACGGAGGAAGCAGUGGGGAAUAUUGCACAUUGGGCGCAAGCCUGAUGCAGCCAUGCCUCGUGUAUGAAGAGGGCCUUAGGGGUGUAAAGUACUUUCAGCGUGGAGGCGUUACCCGCAGAAGAAGCACCGGCUAACUCCGUGCCAGCAGCCGCGGUAAUAC
rnacentral:rRNA from 1 species